UACGGUCAUGUUACGUUGAAACACCAGUUUUCGUACAAUCACCGAAGUUAAGCAACACGUGAGCCUAUCCAGUACAUGGAUGAGUGACCGCUUAGGAAUAUCAGUUGCUGUC